AUCUCACACUGUCAAGAAAAAUCUCUAUCGAGGUUAAAGGUACCCGUACCGCAAACCGACACAGGUGGGUGAAGAGAGUAUCCUAAGGCCAGCGAGAGAACUGUUGUUAAGGAACGCGGCAAAAUGACCCCGUAACUUAGGGAUAAGGGGUGCCACCAUCAGGUGGCCGCAGGGAAUAGGCCCAAGCGACUGUUUACCAAAAACAUAGGUUUCUGCUAAGUCGCAAGACGAUGUAUAGGAGCUGACGCCUGCCCGGUGCUGGAAGGUUAAGGGGAUCUGUUAGAG
rnacentral:rRNA from 1 species